GUGGCGCCCUUAGAGAGUGCAACUACAAUUCCCAUCACCCUCAACCAACCCACAGGCCCAUGGCCCUGGAGGAAGGAUCAAGGAUUCUGGGCAUUUCCAGAAAGGGGCUUCAGGGGGCCAAGGGCGCAGACAGGCUGCAGGGAGGCCUCCCCCAACCUCUCCAUGGUCUGGGGAUGAUGGAAAGUGUCCUCCAACCCCCCCCCACCAUGCUGUGCCUUAAGCAGCGGGUCCCAGCUCUCCCAGGGAUUGUUGCUUUGCCUAUUGGGACAAAAGACCUCUUCGCAUUAGGAACAUAGCCUCUUACUACUCGACUGACUCUGAAUGCAACCUGAAGGCAAUUGUGUUUGUUAUGAAGAACGGCAAGCAGAUCUGCGUGAAUUCAGCUGAGACUUGGGUUCAAAGGGCACUGCCCAAUUUGAAUGAAAUGAAGUAGGAAGAAUUGCGGAGAAACAGAGGCCACAAAAGAAGACGCUGAGAAGCAAGACAAACUCCACAUUUCAAGAGCACUGAAGACCAUUUAAUGGCUAUGUUUUUCUGCGCUUCCUCAAAGUACUCUAGCAAUUGUAGUUGGCAGAUUGCUUAAGUCUCUUCCAGCUCUUAUGAUUCUGUAUCUUCCUUCGUAGCAGAUACAGUUCCUAGUAUCCCUUACCUGGAAAUCCUUUAGUUCUAUGCUUUUAGUUUAAAGUAAAGAAUUAAUGUCAGAGUCUAUGAUGUAUGUCUGCACUCCAACCCUAUGGCCUUUCCAAAUGUAACUUGCAUUCGUAAAGCACACUGACACCAGCAAGACUGCAUAGGAAAGUGCCAAGAUCAACUGACAAACUGGUUGUGUGUAUUUAUUGCUGUCAUGUCUAUCCAUGCUUGCUUGGCACUCCAAUCCCCAGAAUUCCCUGGGAUGGGGGAUUCUGGGAUGUGUAGUCUAAGGAUGCAUCCAUGCUGAGUUAAUAUAUUUUGUUUUGAAGAGUAUAAGUUGAAACAAUAACUACAAUAAAUAGAUAAAGAAAGCUACUA